UUAUAUUUACCAGUUUUUAAUGUAUAGUACGUGUCACCUACAACCAUAAAUACGCGGAUGAACGCGAUGCAUGGUCAAAGUCUCAAAGAUACAAUUCUCUGCAUUGGUUCUGAAGUUUUCUUGCUCCGGCUUUGACCCUCUGCAGAAGAAGAAAGGAUCGUUUCAACACUCUAGUUUCCUGUCUGGUGGAGCAAUAACGUCUGCAGGAAGAUUGGUGGUCAAAGACGGAAUUCUGAAGGUAUGUUCAUAUGAAGAACAAAAAUCUUGAUUUACAACAACUCAAUAGACAAUGCCAAUUUCAGAUUAGCAAAAGUUAUCAAAUAGUACUACUCCAGUAUAACUGAUGGUGUCCUGUUUCUUCAGGCAAUAUGGCCGUACAGUGGUCACUACCUUCCAACGGAAGAGAACUUCAGAGAGUUCAUUCGCUACCUUCAGGAGAACGGCGUCGACCUCACCGAUGUCAAGGUAAAUGAGAGAACUUUUCACAUUUGCAUGUCAGUAGCAAGAGAGUACUACUAUCACUACCACUACAAAAGAUCAUCAGAACAGUAAUUAAUGACAUGCGAAUUAAUUCUGUAAUUUUUGUUUCAGACAUCUCCGGUAGACAGAGAUGACGAGUACCCCUUGCUGAGCAAACCUGUCACCCAGCCUGAACAAGCCGAGAAC
rnacentral:lncRNA from 1 species